rnacentral:miRNA from 1 species
CUUUCUCGUUUCCUUCUCU